UGUUAGGCCUGCAGGUCCCAGGGAUAACUACAUGCUGGAAGUUCUUCUUCAAAAAUCAGACAUGAUGCUCAAGCUCUUUCUUAGCAGUUUUGUCAUAGCAUGAGCAGGUGACAACUGCAAUGACCCAUGAAGGCAUCCAGGCUCCAUAUCAUCUCAGUGCAAAGAAGCCUUCAGUAGAAGAAUGGCUGAGCUUCCACCAUCUGCUUCCUCCAGCACAUGCCCUCACACCACUGCUGUCUUACAGCCAUGGGGAAAGUCACUGAGCAGGAAAAGGAACAUUACGACAGCGACACUUUGUCACCCAGCGACUUCCCCAGCAUUGCUGCCAUUCUGAGGCCUUUUAACAGGGAAAAGGAUCAGGAAUGAUGGAGGGAGGGCUGACGCCGGUGAUGAAUCAAAAAUAAACUUCUCAGAUA